rnacentral:rRNA from 1 species
GGUUGACCUCGGAUCAGGUAGGGAUACCCGCUGAACUUAAGCAUAUCAAUAAGCGGAGGAAAAGAAACCAACAGGGAUUGCCCCAGUAACGGCGAGUGAAGCGGCAAGAGCUCAAAUUUGAAAGCUGGCUCCUUCGGGGUCCGCAUUGUAAUUUGCAGAGGAUGCUUCGGGUGCGGUCCCCAUCUAAGUGCCCUGGAACGGGACGUCAUAGAGGGUGAGAAUCCCGUAU